UACAGAGGGUGCAAGCGUUAAUCGGAAUUACUGGGCGUUAAGCGUGCGUAGUCGGUUAUUUAAGUCGGGCGUGAAAGCCCCGGGCUCAACCUGGGAAUUGCGUUCGAUACUGGAUAGCUAGAGUUCGGCAGAGGGAAGCGGAAUUUCUGGUGUAGCGGUGAAAUGCGUAGAUAUCAGAAGGAACAUCAGUGGCGAAAGCGGCUUCCUGGACCAGAACUGACGAUCAGGCACGAAAGCGUGGGGAGCAAACAGG
rnacentral:rRNA from 1 species